rnacentral:rRNA from 1 species
GAAUAGUGGAAAAUGGGCGAAAGCCUGAUCCAGCCAUGCCGCGUGUGUGAAGGAGGUCUUCGGAUUGUAAAUCACUUUAAGAUGGGCGGAAGGGCAGUAAGCGCACACCUCGCUGCUUUGACGUUACCGACAGAAUAAGCACCGGCUCACUCUGUGCCAGCAGCCGCGGUACUACAGAGUGUGCAAGCGUUAAUCGGAAUUACUGGGCGUAAAGCGCGCGUAGGUGGUUCGUUAAGUCGGAUGUGAAAUCCCCGGGCUCAACCUGGGAACUGCAUCCAAAACUGGCGAGCUAGAGUAGGGCAGAGGGUGGUGGAAUUUCCUGUGUAGCGGUGAAAUGCGUAGAUAUAGGAAGGAACACCAGUGGCGAAGGCGACCACCUGGGCUCAUACUGACACUGAGGUGCGAAAGCGUGGGGAGCAAACAGG